UUCUACCCAGCCUGCCCGCUUUCCCCUCUCUCUCCCUUUCUCUUUCUCUCCCCUCUCCCAUGCUGAAGGUUUCCUAGUGCCAGGGAGAUAUGAUAAUUCUUGUGAAGAGAGCAUGAAAUGCCUCUGCUCUUUGUGUCUGUUUAAUUCAAUGAGAAUCCCAGCCCCAGAUGUCAUGAAUGGUGGGCUUUGUGCUGGCCCUUCCUAAGCCCUAACCGCCAGCCCUGCUCUCUGUCUUUCUUGUUUCCCACCACUGGAUACUGAUUAACAAACUAAAUUAUUUUUCCUCCCUAAUGAUGUUUUCCCACUUUGCCCACCAGGCUGGAAGAAGCCACGGGGAGGAAAGAGUUUGUGCAAAGGAUGAGAUAGCCAGGGAAAAAAUUAAAGAGACAGUGUUGCUCUCUGGACUCUGGCAGCGCAGGUCUGCUCGGCUUUAUUUCCUUAUUAGAGGACAUGGUCGUGUCUGGCUGUAUUUUAUGUGGCUGUGUGUAUUUCAGCCGAGGGGAUGGGCUCGAGAGCAUCUGCACAAGGUAUGCUCUGAAGCAUGCCAAGGUCCAUAACUCACUCGCAAUUGUGCGCUCGAGUUUGCAGGGUCCCAAAUUUAAGGUCUCUUUUCCAGCCCUUUCUUCGUGAGCGAUGUUUGGUAAUUACUUGACAUCCAUCCAUACACGUAGGAGCCGCUUUCUAAUUGAGACAAAUUCUCUUUUCCUUAAUCAGAGCUGACUGCGAGUUCGUGGAGCGGGAUGCCUUGGGAAGGGAUGGGACAUCUCCACCUGAGCGAGGAGAGGCCCCUGGAGCAGAACGGAGGUGUAAUGCUGAGGAGCUGCAGGGCAGAGCACAGCUUUGGUCACUUUGGAGUUGGAGAUCUUGAGCCGGGGAGGAGGAUCCCAGUGAGGGGAGAAGGGAUGUCCCCAGCCUGACAGCUCCUUCCUGGCUGCGCUCUGCCCGCUCUCUGCCCGAUGUCUCCGGGAUUCUCCAGGAGGGACCCAACCUGCCGUGGCCCCAGCAAGAGGCAGCAUUGGCUGCUGGACGUGGAGGGGUUCUGCAUUGCUUCGCACCUGUGGGGAGGGAGCCAGGGGAUGGGGAGCCUGGCAAAAAUCCCGUGUAACUCCUGUAUGUCACCUCCAGGACCCAAAUACCCCUGGGCAGAGAGGUGUGAGCACCGUCCCAGCUGGGUGUGGGGAUGUUGGUGGGAGCAGGAGGGAGGUCUGAGCGGGAUGGAUGCCAUGUUAAGGGGCUCUGCUCAUGGAGCAGAGCUUGGCCUACGCUGUGCGUGCGUGCGUGAUGGACUGAGCGUGGGCUGACCACGCCUGGUCCAGGCGGUGUUCCAUUGCACUGUAAGAAAAAUGCACUGUAAUUCCCCCCUAAUUAAAAUCAACCCCACCCCGUGCACUGUUGCAAAUAAACACUCCUUUCU
rnacentral:lncRNA from 7 species